UACGGAGGAUCCAAGCGUUAUCCGGAAUUACUGGGCGUAAAGAGUUGCGUAGGUGGCAGAGUAAGCAAGUAGUGAAAUCGUGUGGCUCAACCAUACACCCAUUACUUGAACUGCUCAGCUAGAGGACGAGAGAGGUAGAUGGAAUUCCCAGUGUAGGAGUGAAAUCCGUAGAUAUUGGGAGGAACACCGAUGGCGUAGGCAGUCUACUGGCUCGUUCCUGACACUCAGGCACGAAAGCGUGGGGAGCAAACGGG
rnacentral:rRNA from 1 species